GACGAACGCUGGCGGCGUGCUUAACACAUGCAAGUCGAACGGUAAGGCCCUUCGGGGUACACGAGUGGCGAACGGGAGAGUAACACGUGGGUGAUCUGCCCUGCACUUCGGGAUAAGCCUGGGAAACUGGGUCUAAUACCGGAUAGGACCACUGCCUGCAUGGGUGGUGGUGGAAAGCUUUUGCGGUGUGGGAUGGGCCCGCGGCCUAUCAGCUUGUUGGUGGGGUGAUGGCCUACCAAGGCGACGACGGGUAGCCGGCCUGAGAGGGUGACCGGCCACACUGGGACUGAGAUACGGCCCAGACUCCUUCGGGAGGCAGCAGUGGGGAAUAUUGCACAAUGGGCGCAAGCCUGAUGCAGCGACGCCGCGUGAGGGAUGACGGCCUUCGGGUUGUAAACCUCUUUCAGCACCGACGAAGCGCAAGUGACGGUAGGUGCAGAAGAAGGACCGGCCAACUACGUGCCAGCAGCCGCCGUAA
rnacentral:rRNA from 1 species